rnacentral:sRNA from 1 species
UGACCCUCACGGGUCACCUAGCCAACUGACGUUGUUAGUGAAUAAAGUUAUUCACAUUCUGACGGCCAAUAGAUAUCUUUCUAUUGGCUAUUUUUUU